rnacentral:rRNA from 1 species
AAACUUAAAGGAAUUGACGGGGGCCCGCACAAGCAGCGGAGCAUGUGGUUUAAUUCGAAGCAACGCGAAGAACCUUACCUAGACUUGACAUCUCCUGCAUUACUCUUAAUCGAGGAAGUUCCCUUCGGGGACAGGAAGACAGGUGGUGCAUGGUUGUCGUCAGCUCGUGUCGUGAGAUGUUGGGUUAAGUCCCGCAACGAGCGCAACCCUUAUUGUUAGUUGCUACCAUUAAGUUGGGCACUCUAGCGAGACUGCCCGGGUUAACCGGGAGGAAGGUGGGGAUGACGUCAAAUCAUCAUGCCCCUUAUGUCUAGGGCUACACACGUGCUACAAUGGCAAGUACAAAAGAAGCAAGACCGCGAGGGGGAGCAAAACUCGGAAAACGUCUCAGUUCGGAUUGUAGGCUGAAACUCGCCUACAUGAAGCUGGAGUUGCUAGUAAUCGCGAAUCAGCAUGUCGCGGUGAAUACGUUCCCGGGCCUUGUACACACCGCCCGUCACACCAUGAGAGUUGGCAAUACCCAAAGUACGUGAUCUAACCCGCAAGGGAGGAAGCGUCCUAAGGUAGGGUCAGCGAUUGGGGUGAAGUCGUAACAAGGUAGCCGUAGGAGAACCUGCGGCUGGAUCACCUCCUUUAUG